rnacentral:lncRNA from 1 species
AUGGACACUUCCUCAUCCAACGUGGAAUACUAUUCAAUAUUCGACGCAGAGAUAUUCUACAAUGCAUACGGCCUUACCGGAGACGACCUCAAGGUACUCCAAAAGCAGUUGCAUGUUCCCCUGUCGCAGAUGGAGCUGACGAGAUCGUAUUACCUGGGAUACAAUGUGUUUGAUAACAGGUUCGCUGCUGACACGGGAUUGUACAUAAGAUGGGCCCCAGUCGCACCGAAAACCAAGAUUUACAACACAUAUUCGGUGCUGGCGUCUUUGAAAAACGUGGAUUUGAAACACUGGUGGCCAUCAGGGGAAGUUCCGCUCAUACCGCUCAUCACAGCCGACAAGUACGCGACCGAUUUCGAAGAGUGCAUGUUGAGGAGCUGUAGUAUUGACGUGGAGACAUACAUUUCAAGGUUUGAUCUACUGCAGCUGAAAAAGUCAUUGCUCACACCAGAAAAGCCCACUGUCACAAGCGAUAUCAUUCUCGCGUUCCUGUUCCAAAGCGGUUAUUUCACGCCGUUGGAACGUAACGGUGACGAACGCACUAUCACUGCUCCAAAUUACGAGGUCCAAACGAAAAUGAUUGAAAGUUUCUAUCGGACCGCAUAUUUGUACAAACGCUACGGUUUCACCAAAAGAAGACGAGAAACAUUACGUUACAGCGAUGGACAAACUGAAUUCUAGCAUCAGCACGUUUCAAGAUGUUGUUAAAUCCGUGAGGAAUUUGUUUCGGAGCGAAGCUCCGCUCGGAGAAAAAAUUAUGCAGGCUGUCUUGCUCUACCCUCUUGUAAAUUCUGACAAAUUUUAUGCGUAUCGAAUAGAGAAGCACGAUGACCCGUUUCUCAGGUACGAUGCUGUUGCUGAGAGGAGAAGGGACGAUGCAGCCGUCGUGGUCACGCUGAGAUGCAGACCUCAGGACCUGAGACGGGCUGUGGGGCUGAUUGUAAAAGUGCCGGUCGAUAAAAAAUUUGAUUUGCUGCCCAAUCGGAAGGAUAAGAUUGAUUUACGAUUCAUAACUACUGAAGAUAAAGAAGUUUACGGUUAUUUCAAUUAUACUACAUCCAAAGGUGAUUCGACUUCUGAAAUGUGGCCGGCGCUGAAACACUACUGACGACAGAAGUUUGUUAUGAUUCGCUGUUAUUACUGAUUAAAUUUACGUGGCUAAUAUUACGUAACGUAUAUUAUUUGAAAAAUGGUGUGCAAUAAAAAAAAAAUCUUGAUUAAUGAAUCGGUGUUUUUUUUGCUAACGCAAUUAUUUUCUCGGUUGAUUUUAAAAAUUGAACCAAUUUAAAACUAUAAGGAUCCACGUGAAUAUAGUUUGCGUGAAAAAAUACUCAUUUUGUCAUAAAUACAUCCAUUUAAGGCACGAUUCCAGCCCUCUAGCACACAUUUUCAGUUUUGAAAAUUUUGUGAAACUUUCUU